rnacentral:tRNA from 1 species
GGCCAGAUGGUGUAUAACACGUCAGAUUGCAAAUCUGAAAAUGCGGGUAACCCCUGCUCGGGCCU